UAAGCCUUAAGUUAUGUAAACUAUAAGCCUUCCAAGCUUAAAAAAUCUAUUAGACUUAA
rnacentral:tRNA from 1 species